CGUCCGGCGUCCGUCGUCCGUCGUCCGUCGUCCGUCGUCGUUAACUUUUACAAAAAUCUUCUCCUCUGAAACUACUGGGCCAAAUUUAACCAAACUUGGCACAAUCAUCAUUGGGGUAUCUAGUUUAAAAAAUGUGUUCGGUUACCCGGCCAACCAACCAAGAUGGCCGCCAUGGCUAAAAAUAGAACAUAGGGGUCAAAUGCAGUUUUUGGCUUAUAACUCUGAAACUGAAGCAUUUAGAGCAAAUCUGACAUGGGGGUUAAAUUGUUUAUUAAGUCAAGAUCUAUCUGCCCUAAAAUUUUCAGACG
rnacentral:lncRNA from 1 species